CCUAACUGUAUAACCAAAGAUCGGAAUGACGGAACCAUGUUUCCCGAAACGAUCUCGUCAAUACUCCUGCGUGCGUUAUGGGUGACAGCUCUUAGGGUUCGAAGACAGGUGGAGUCGGCAGAAAGAGGCUAUAGCCACUCAGAAAGAGAAAGGUAUGCCUACUGAUAUGCCGGGCGGCUGAAAA
rfam:Paenibacillus larvae subsp. larvae DSM 25430, complete genome.